UUUUCAUGAUGAUUGCAAUUUAUCACCAUCUUUCGACUGAUUGGCAGUGAUGUUAAAUUAUUUCCUGAAGAUUAAA